rfam:Sphingobacteriales bacterium 40-81 SCNpilot_expt_1000_bf_scaffold_184, whole genome shotgun sequence.
GGAGAGAGUCCGGUUGGUCAUGGAUGCUGUCUUGAAAACAGACUGGGUGUAAAAGCCUCAAGAGUUCGAAUCUCUUUCUCUCCG